rnacentral:rRNA from 1 species
CAGCCGCCGCGGGAAAACGUAGGGUGCAAGCGUUAAUCGGAAUUACUGGGCGUAAAGCGUGCGCAGGCGGUUCUAUAAGACAGAUGUGAAAUCCCCGGGCUCAACCUGGGAACUGCAUUUGUGACUGUAGAGCUGGAGUGCGGCAGAGGGGGAUGGAAUUCCGCGUGUAGCAGUGAAAUGCGUAGAUAUGCGGAGGAACACCGAUGGCGAAGGCAAUCCCCUGGGCCUGCACUGACGCUCAUGCACGAAAGCGUGGGGAGCAAACAGGAUUAGAUACCCCCGUAGUCCCUGUCUCUUAUAA